ACAAUAUUGUAUGGCGAAUGGUGAUCCGUUGUUAUCAUUAUGUUUGAGUUUCAGUACUAUUUUUUCGAUUUUGUCUUGUUAAAUUUCGGUUUUUAUCGGUUCUUAAUGCAAUUUUGUAUUUGCUGCUAGGUGUGCGAACGCGUAUUUUCAAUUUUGUAUUUUUAAAUAUUAAAAGUUCGUUUUGUGUAUGCAGGAUUAUUGAACAUCGACUGUUUAAAUAAUCGAGUGAAGUGGUUGUUUACAUACUGUUUUUUUUUUAAUUUUGUAGUGUUUUGUGGUUAUUAACUCUUAUAUUAUAUAUGAUUAAAUUAUGUAUAGUAUAGCGCAAAUUAGAACAUGAAUACUUAAUUAAAACAAUGCUUUUAAAUUAAUUUUGGUUUGUAUCCAUUUAUAAAAGUUAAGUGUCGUUAGCAACUCUUCCCGUUAAUGUAAUAAUAAGUUAUAUGAUAAUUGAUAAUAGGUACUUGUUACUUUGAUUCAAUUAAAAUUCAAUAUGCCCUUAAAAUGUUUAAGAACUAAAGGUUAUAAUAGAUUGAUCUGAAGGCUUAUUAAUGGUUAAUCUUAGACAAAUCACAAAAUUCAUUGUUAUUAUCAACAAUUGUAUAUUCGGAUAGCCGAAAUGUGUUGUUACAUUAAAAUUGGUAUAAUUAUAUACUCAUAAAUUUCACUUACCAACUUUAAAAUGUUUUUUUAUAUUCUGUGAUUAAUUUUAUGGGCAAGUUCAAAAGUUAAAUUAAUUUUUAAUUUUUUUUGAUGUAUUUAGGUUUUUAUUUUUAUCAGUUUUGUUUUUCAUCAUAAUAGAUAGGUAAUGUAGUCUAGGGUAUAUGAGGUGACCAUAUUCAAUUUCAUAAAAUACAACAUCAGAAAUUCCAACAAGACAUAGCCAUUACUUUAGUUUAUCCCUGACUUUAUUUUACCAUUUCUGUAUGUUAAUUAUUUAUGAGUGAUUACUUUAUUAUAGACUAACUAUUAUGAAUAUCCAACAAAAAAAUUGAAUUAUUAAAAUUUAUUUUACUUAAGUUAAUUUUUGAGACGUUAAUAUAUUCAUUGUCGCCUUACCCGUGAGUAAUACUAUGUCCAAGAUAACAUUUUCCUUAACUUUUGGUUUCCAAACCGGCAUUUUACCGGUAUCCCAUGAUAAAUGGCUGCUGUAAUAACAGCUAGUCGUUAUAUUUACAAUUAAGUACUUAUAGAAUAUAUUAUGUCUCGUAAGCACAGUAAUACCUAUUGUAAUAUACCCAUUUAUAUAAUUUUUUAUUUAAGUUUUUGGCUUUAACUAUUAUUGGUGUUUACAUAUAUUUCCAAUUUUAUUUUAAAAAUAAUAUACUUUGAUGUGUACUUACCAAGUAUAAAGUUAAUCUUAUAGUACCUACAUUACCUAUAUUCCAAGUUAAGUAAUUUGUCUGUAUUUUUAAAUUGACUUAACUAUUCAAAUUUUUGCUAUUAAAUGAUUUAAAAGAUAUCUUAAUCAGUUUCAACAAAAAUUAGUUUUUGAAUUAAUAUCAAUCAUUGUUCUAGUUGGAUAUUUAUGUACUCAUAAUGUCAUUAAUAAUUUAGAAAAUCAAGUGUUUUUAUAAGUGUUAAUUUUAUGAAAAUGAAGUGCCUGUUGUCUGCUGUUAAUAGUCGGGAUAUGGCUAGCUACUAUUGUAACUACUGGCUAUUUUCUAUGUUCAAUUUCACAGUUACAAGUGAGAAAUUCGCAUAUUAAGUAGUGUAUCAUUGGUCAACACUAUUGAAGAAGUAAUUAUAUGCCCUCAAAAUUGCGGCAGAAGCUAUAAAAAUAUAUCUUGUCUAAACAAACAUUUAAAAUAUGAAUGCAAUAAAGCACCAAAAUUUAAGUGCAUUUUCUGCAAUAAAAGGUCUAAGCGGCCCGAUAAUUUAAGAACGCAUAUGCAAUUAGUGCAUCAUUAUUUUAAAAAAAUAACACUAUAUGAUUGUAGCUCUGAAGAUCCUGAUGUAUGAAAUCUAAAAUCAAGUCAGUGAAUCAAAUGAGCUGGGACGUGUUGGGAAUGUGCUCUCUCUAGUGUCAGCAUAUUUUGUAUAGAUAUUUUGUACACAGGCAUUGAUGUACUUACGUCUUGUUUUUGUUUGAUUAUUUAUGUUAAUAAUUUUUUUUUUUUGUGGUCCCAUUUGUUAUUAUAUUCAAUUUAUGAUACUAUAUCAUGCUCAUUGUUUUGGUACUUUUGAUUGAAGGCAUAUAAGGAAAAAAUAUAAAGAGUUUGCCCUAAAGGUUCACCUUACAUCAUUCUAUUUAUUUUUUAUAUUUAGAAAUUGUAUUCAUAUUUUACACUUGAAAAUAAAAUUGACAUGCAUAACUACUUAACCAAAUCUUCUUUUUAUACUCCAAUUUCUUAGCUUAGCUUGAAAGAAACAAUAUAAAUGAACUAGGUAUAUUAGAUUUGAAAUAGGUAUUUUUUUUCUGUUAUCAAAUUGUAUAGACAAAUUAACACAUAGUCUUAAAUCAAUAGAACACAUUUGAAAUUCUGCCUGCAAUUUACUAAAAUAAUGGUGCUUAGUUAAUGAUAGGUAUAUUUAAAUAAUGUAUUGGUUAUUUUUUAACUAUUUAUUUAUGUUUUGGAUGACAUUUAUUUUUUAGAAGAUUACAUAGAAAAAUCUUAUUUG